rnacentral:rRNA from 1 species
GAUGAACGCUGGCGGCGUGCCUAAUACAUGCAAGUCGAGCGCAGCGGGGACGGGUGAGUAACACGUGGAUAACCUCCUAUAAGACUGGGAUAACUUCGGGAAACCGGAGCUAAACCGGAUACUUAUGGUUCGAUCCUCGCUGCAUUCGCUAGGUGGUAAGGUAACGGCUAACCAAGGCCACGAUGCAUCGCCGACCUGAGAGGGUGAUCGGCCAAACUGGAACUGAGACACGGCCCAGACUCCUACGGGAGGCAGCAGUAGGGAAUCUUCCGAAAUGGGCGAAAGCCUGACGGAGCAACGCCGCGUGAGUGAAGAAGGUUUUCGGAUCGUAAAACUCUGUUGUUAGAGAAGCGGUAUCUAACCAGAAAGCCACGGCUAACUACGUGCCAGCAGCCGCGGUAAUUC